rnacentral:other from 1 species
UUUGUCCUGCCGUGUGCGUGAUAGAGCAUUAUUUGGACCUACAACAUUAACGAGGGAGCCAUCGCUCCGGAUGCAGGGAAUGCAGACCUCCCGUCCCUCGGGACGGACGCUGGGAGCACAAAACGUCCGGGCCGGCACCCACCUUGCACAGGCAGGGUCAUAAUGUUUGCUCUACACGGCACGGCGGGUUUUUA